rnacentral:rRNA from 1 species
UACGGGGGGAGCAAGCGUUGUUCGGAUUUACUGGGCGUAAAGGGCGCGUAGGCGGCGUGACAAGUCAGUUGUGAAAUCUCCGGGCUUAACUCGGAACGGUCAACUGAUACUGUGCGACUAGAGUGCAGAAGGGGCAACUGGAAUUCUCGGUGUAGCGGUGAAAUGCGUAGAUAUCGAGAGGAACACCUGCGGCGAAGGCGGGUUGCUGGGCUGACACUGACGCUGAGGCGCGAAAGCCAGGGGAGCGAACGGG